rnacentral:rRNA from 1 species
UACGUAGGUCCCGAGCGUUGUCCGGAUUUAUUGGGCGUAAAGCGAGCGUAGGUGGUUUAUUAAGUCUGGUGUAAAAGGCAGUGGCUCAACCAUUGUAUGCAUUGGAAACUGGUAGACUUGAGUGCAGGAGAGGAGAGUGGAAUUCCAUGUGUAGCGGUGAAAUGCGUAGAUAUAUGGAGGAACACCGGUGGCGAAAGCGGCUCUCUGGCCUGUAACUGACACUGAGGCUCGAAAGCGUGGGGAGCAAACAGG